UACGGAGGGGGCUAGCGUUGUUCGGAAUUACUGGACGUAAAGCGCGCGUAGGCGGACCUGCAAGUCGGGGGUGAAAGCCCGAGGCUCAACCUCGGAACUGCCUUCGAUACUGCGGGUCUCGAGUCCGGGAGAGGUGAGUGGAAUUCCUAGUGUAGAGGUGAAAUUCGUAGAUAUUAGGAAGAACACCAGUGGCGAAGGCGGCUCACUGGCCCGGUACUGACGCUGAGGCGCGAAAGCGUGGGGAGCAAACAGG
rnacentral:rRNA from 1 species